rnacentral:rRNA from 1 species
AUUGAACGCUGGCGGCAUGCUUUACACAUGCAAGUCGAACGGUAACAGGCCGCAAGGUGCUGACGAGUGGCGAACGGGUGAGUAAUGCAUCGGAACGUGCCCAGUCGUGGGGGAUAACGCAGCGAAAGUUGCGCUAAUACCGCAUACGAUCUAUGGAUGAAAGCGGGGGACCGUAAGGCCUCGCGCGAUUGGAGCGGCCGAUGUCAGAUUAGGUAGUUGGUGGGGUAAAGGCGCACCAAGCCGACGAUCUGUAGCUGGUCUGAGAGGACGACCAGCCACACUGGGACUGAGACACGGCCCAGACUCCUACGGGAGGAAGCAGUGGGGAAUUUUGGACAAUGGGCGCAAGCCGGAUCCAGCAAUGCCGCGUGCAGGAAGAAGGCCUUCUGGUUGUAAACUGCUUUUGUACGGAACGAAACGGUCCUGGUUAAUACCCGGGGCUAAUGACGGUACCGUAAGAAUAAGCACCGGCUAACUACGUGCCAGCCGCCGCAGUAAAAC